GGCCCGUUCGUCUAAUGGUCAGGACGUAAGGUUCUCAUCCUUAAAACAGGGGUUCGAUUCCCCUACGGGCUA
rnacentral:tRNA from 1 species